rnacentral:lncRNA from 1 species
CCAACCCUCUGUCUCCAGUGACCCUGACCUCUGUCCUCCAGGUGACCAUUGGAGCCUCAUACUCAACAUGUCCUGGCAUGAACUCUGCCCCUCUCUGCCCAGUCUCUCGAGAAGGUGACAGGAACGGAUGCUGGUCACCAGCCGGCCACAUGGGGCAUGCAGAGGGACAGCAAACAUGCUACCGCCUAGACCAGGAGGAGGCCAAGCCACUGGCUCCACACUGUUCCCUUGACAUGCUAGAUUGUGACAGAGGGUCGGCCAGAUUGAGAUGUCACCGAUGCCUUGCUGCAGUCCAGGACGAGGAGGGGGCCCAGAGCCACACUGAGAGGUGGAGGGAGCAAGCAGGGCUGGCCUGGUCCUGGGCCCUGAGAGGCAGCAGGAAGCUGCUCCCCUGCCCCAGGGCUGUGAGGAGAGACCUCAGGGUCCCCACCUGGGAUGGUGAGGGGGCAGCUGGAAGAUCUUUGAGCUGCUCCCCACAGGAUCAUACUCCACCCGCCAAGGACUGUCCUGGUGCCUAACCCCCAUGCAGGGGCUUUCCUGCGUGCUUUGCUAUCCCAUGAGAGAGCUGUUGUCAUCCUGACUGAGGGUGACAAAGCUGAGGCCUGGAGUGGUUCCAUGGCUUGCCGGAGACCACACAGCUCACUGACCACACUGGUGGUCUUCAGCCCUAUCCCUUACUGUGUGAUCCCGUUCGUGACAAAGCCUGACGCCAGGCUAAGGAGCCACCACACCUCCGGCAUGGGCUCAGCUGCCCUGCUCUGCGCCCGGGAGCUCUGAGGGCCGGCAAAGGCACCUGCUGCACAGCCCCGCAUGCUGAGGUUCCAGCUAGGCCCCACGCUCAUCUCCACGCCCCUUUCCAUUUCUCUGUUAACACUUGUUUGAAGAGGUGGCAAGCUAAGCCUCCUGUGACUCAUCUUUGCUGGUCCUUGGGCCAGGGAGGGAAGGCUGGAACCAGCAGCAGAAGCAGACGGGUGAGGCCAUUCCUGGGGAGCCCCGGCCAGGGGUCUCUGGGGAAGGAGAGCCAGGCCAGGUGCCCGAGGUCUGGGAGCUGGUCGCCCAUGAUGACUAGGGCCUGAACAGGCAGAGAUGAGCCUGGCAGGUGUCGCGGCAUGGGACAGAGGGAACAUGGGGACUAGACAGUCCUGGGCCAAGCCUCGAGGGUCAUGCUUCCCAUGGAGGUGUCGCCCCAGGGCCAGCGUCCAUUGCCUUCCCACAUCAGGAGGGCCUCGAGGAGGAGAGCACUCAGGAGCGAGGUGGGCGGCAGGGCAUCCAGGACAAAACCCCCCACACUGCACAGAGAGAGAGGUGGGGAGCAGGAGGGAGGAACAGGAGAGCCCCGCCCUGGACGUCAGAGACCACAACCACGGCUCACUUCCGGGAAGGUCUCUGGGACUAAUUGUGACCUUAGGCAGGAAAGCGUCCAGGUGAUCCGGUCUAACGUGCUGGAACUCAGAACCAUUCAACCAUCUCUGCAGACCCCAGACCACAGUCCACAGGCUUCUGAGGCCAGCUCCCCACUCACUCUUCAGCAUCAGCUCCCCCGCUCCCCUGGGAACUUCCAAGACACCCAGGCCUUGAACGUGUCUGGUCCCCCGGGGCCUGGUGCCAGCUGCUUCCCCGAGGACUCCUCCUGCAGAGGCUGCGUGGCCGGCUGCCUCUCGUCCUCCCUGCUCUGCUUGCAGCGAGGCCCUUCCUAACGCCUCCACCCUCCUCAGGCCUCCCUCCCCAC